rnacentral:rRNA from 1 species
UACGUAGGCAGCGAGCGUUGUUCGGAGUUACUGGGCGUAAAGAGUGCGUAGGCGGUUUUCUAAGUUUGGUGUGAAAUCUCCCGGCUUAACUGGGAGGGUGCGCCGAAAACUGGAAGGCUUGAGUAUGGGAGAGGUAAGCGGAAUUCCUGGUGUAGCGGUGAAAUGCGCAGAUAUCAGGAGGAACACCGGUGGCGAAGGCGGAUCUCUGGGCCGAUACUGACGCUGAGGAGCGAAAGCGUGGGGAGCAAACAGG